rnacentral:ncRNA from 1 species
CUGGUGUGACAGCAGGAUCCGCUCUGCAGCCUGAUGGGGAAUCAGGGAUCAGUUUUGGAGAGGGAGCCUGAGAAACAGCUACCACAUCCAAGGUAGGCAGCUGGUGCACAGAUUGUCCACUCCCAACCCAGGGAGGUAGUGAUGAAAAAUAACAAUACAGGACUCUUUCAAGGCCCUGUAAUUGGAAUGAGCACACUUUAAAUCCUUGAAUGAGGAUCCAUUGGAGGACGAAUCUGGUGCCAGCAGUCGCUGUAAUUCCAGCUCCAAUAG